UACAGAGGUCUCAAGCGUUGUUCGGAUUCAUUGGGCGUAAAGGGUGCGUAGGUAGCACGGUAAGUCGGGUGUGAAAUCUCGGAGCUUAACUCCGAAAUUGCAUUCGAUACUGCCGUGCUCGAGGACUGGAGAGGAGACUGGAAUUCAUGGUGUAGCAGUGAAAUGCGUAGAGAUCAUGAGGAAGACCAGUGGCGAAGGCGGCUACCUGGACAAUUGCUGACGCUCAGGCACGAAAGCGUGGGGAGCAAAAGGG
rnacentral:rRNA from 1 species